AGUUAUUAUAUUCAGUCUUAAGGGAGGGAGAUUCCCCUCUUCUUACACCAAAUCUGAUAGCCACCUGGACUAUGGAAUUAUGAAGGCUUAGGGGAUUAUGAAACUGUCUCUGAAUCAUGACUCCUGCUUAGCUGAACAGUUUUGGAAUGUGAUAUAAUUAAACUUGAUAUUUGACUGUUUGUAUAAUGGAAUGAAAGGUCUCAUGGUCAAAGCAUUUUCCUCGCCCAAAGGCUUUUUGAAAGCCCAGGGCUCUUACAGUGCAAGACACAUAAUGCUUCAGUUCUCCAGCACUUAACUAUUCAAUUUUUGAAUCGGUGCUCCUGAAUAACAUCACUUUCCCCAGCUAUAUAUAGUAUGUGUGGCAGCCAUCUCCUGAGUGUCCUCCAUUUCUUUUUGUUUAGGUGGUUUCUUCCUGACCUUAACAUCACUGAGGCCACGUGGUGCAGAUAAUAGCUUUCCUGAAGAAGCUUGGAUGGAGAUCUUGCUGCCAUACCUAGCUGCAUAACACAGGGAUCUCAAGAGCAAUCGAGGUGGUGAGGUAGAAGUAGAGAUGUUUGGUCUAACAAAGGUGGCUACCUUUGUUUGACCAGCAUAGUAGUUCCCUGUGGAGGCUGACAACAUCUGGAGACAUGUGACAG
rnacentral:lncRNA from 1 species